rnacentral:rRNA from 1 species
AAUGAACGCUGGCGGCAGGCCCAACACAUGCAAGUCGAACGGAUCCUUCGGGAUUAGUGGCGGACGGGUGAGUAACGCGUGGGAACAUACCCUUUGGUACGGAAUAGCCUCGGGAAACUGGGAGUAAUACCGUAUGUGGUCGAGAGACGAAAGAUUUAUCGCCAAAGGAUUGGCCCGCGUUGGAUUAGGUAGUUGGUGGGGUAAUGGCCUACCAAGCCGACGAUCCAUAGCUGGUUUGAGAGGAUGAUCAGCCACACUGGGACUGAGACACGGCCCAGACUCCUACGGGAGGCAGCAGUGGGGAAUCUUAGACAAUGGGGGAAACCCUGAUCUAGCCAUGCCGCGUGAUCGAUGAAGGCCUUAGGGUUGUAAAGAUCUUUCAGGUGGGAAGAUAAUGACUGUACCACCAGAAGAAGCCCCGGCUAACUCCGUGUCAGCCGCCGCAGUAA